GGGGGUUUAGCUCAGUUGGUAGAGCGUUCGCUUAGCAUUCAGCUAACUUGCGAAAGGUCGCGUGUUCGACUCAUGCAGUCUCCA
rnacentral:tRNA from 2 species